UACAGAGGUCUCAAGCGUUGUUCGGAUUCAUUGGGCGUAAAGGGUGCGUAGGCGGCGCGGUAAGUCGGGUGUGAAAUCUUGGAGCUUAACUCCGAAACUGCAUUCGAUACUGCCGUGCUUGAGGACUGGAGAGGAGACCGGAAUUUACGGUGUAGCGGUGAAAUGCGUAGAUAUCGUAAGGAAGACCAGUGGCGAAGGCGGGUCUCUGGACAGUUCCUGACGCUGAGGCACGAAGGUCAGGGGAGCAAACGGG
rnacentral:rRNA from 1 species